rnacentral:lncRNA from 1 species
AUGAUGUAUCCAUAUUGUUUUCCAUAUAGAUGAUGUACCCAUCUGGAUUAGAUUAAUAUAUCAGAGUGUCUUCUUCUUACUAGAACUCCUUAUUACUGAGGCUUGCGCGCUGGCUACAAAAGAAGCAACAGCCACGGAACUUCUUCUGCAUCACCAAGCACAGCGGUAAUGCCAGUACCGAUUGAUCCAUCAAACCAUAUACGUAUGGUCUGUGACAACAGCCAGGCAAGUAAUGCAUGCAGCAAAAUGCAGACAUUGUGGUUCAUUAUGGUCCAGAGAAUGCAUAUGCUGACAUUCUAGUUCAGAGAAAGCAUGCAGCAAAAUUCAAGAAACUGAAUUCCUCCCUGCAAAGCACGUUUUAAUCUGGAUGACAAGUAAGUAGCACGUCAAGGCAGGCAGCUGCUGAUUUUACCCCCCAAAGAAAAGAAAAUGACGCAGUCAACUAGCUCUUUAGGUACCAGUUGAUUGAUGUACUUGCAUCACUUAAGCCUGAAGGAUAAAAGAUGGACCAGUUGAUUGAUGCAGCUCAGCUCAUCCUUGAUGGCGCCCUAGCGUAUCACUGACAUACGUAGAUACCACCCAACAACUCCCUAGCUCAUAAUUGAUACGGCUGUUCUUCACAUGGCAUCUCUGUUCCAAAUGACAAGGGCAAAACAGAACAAGGAACGAUCAGGACCGAGAUAACCAUGUACCACAAGAUCAAGAAAAUCGACAAAACAAGUAGUAGUACUGUAGUAGUAGUACGACAGCAACCAAAUGCUAUAGGGCACUCAAUGAUAGAAUUGCUCAUGCAAUUUAGAUUAAAUGCUCUGCUAUCCCAAACCGACAUAAAGUUUCCUUGUAUGGCAUGAACAGUGAAGCAAACACGGGUCAUGGAACGUAAAGGUCACCCAAGUACCGUGUUUUCAUACUGGAGUAUACCCUUGAGUGCGGAUCGACCCAUCCCCAAGAACACAAACUCAGCAUUGUCCCCCACACUUUUUAUUCGGAGAGAAGCAUUGGAACCUAGCAUAUUCAAACUAGCCAACAUCUCACGCAAACAAAUGCUUUCCACUAGCAACCAGUCGUCGUCUCCCUUGUGGACGAGGAUCUCGGCGAGGAGGUUGUCGUCGUCGAGCGCACUCCACUCGGAUACCGCCGGCGGCGUCUCGCCCUCCAUUUUGGCGGCGCGUAUGAGCACGGUGGGGAAGCCCACGCGGAGGAUUGACUCGGCGAGGAAUUCGUCGUCGUCGUCGAACACCUCGGAUGCCGCCGGCGGCGGCUGCGGCAGAUCGCCCUCCAUUUCGGCCGGAGUUGGCUGGGCUUUCGGUGGGGUUUGUGAAAGGGGAUCGAGAAAUGCUCCAGGCUGGGGCAGGAGGUGCACGAAGGGGAUCAAAUAGCCAGCCGAUUCCUCGUCUUCCUGGGCCUGGGCUGCCAGUUGAGGCCCAUCAAUGCCCUAGCAAGUACUCCAAUGUUUUUUUAUACUGAAAAACUACUUAAAAAAUUAAAAAGAAAGGAAGUAGCGCAAUGAACUGUAGCCGUUAUCCCUCAAGUAAAAAAAAACUAUAUCCGUUAUACAUCACCCUGAAAAUUUUCUUUCAAAAAAUAACGUCCUGAAAUUUGGUUAAAGAUAAUGUUUGAGAAAAGCAUGUGUGUUUGUGUUUGAUGAUUGACGGAAGCCACUUGUAACAUGUACCGACCCUCGAUUCACGCAGGUUGUUGAAAAUCCAGACCAAAGAAACCGUUGAACAGUGGCAAAAGAAAUUUCAUUGGAUGCAAGGUUGUCUGAAUCGUGAUUUUAUUGUACGAUUCUACGACUUUAUGAUUCAAAGUAACCAUUCUUAUUCUAUGAUUUUGGUUAGUAGGAUCUACAUUUUUACAAUUCUGAUAGUAAAGAUUCUACAUUUUACGAUUCUGGUAGUAAUGACUUUAUGAUUCGAUUAUGACAACCUUGAUUAGAUGUAUGAGAACAUAUAUGUUAUGUUAAAGCAAGAAAAGACUGGCACAAAACCAGAUUAGGGAUACAGCGGGUGAUGGGAGCUAGAGGGGAAGUUCGCUGCCUUGGACGCAGGGUUUCUAUAGAGCGGGCGGCAGUCCCUGUACAUUGCACAGAAGAUGGACAUGAUCGUGGGGCAGCUGAACAAUACAGACAUUUUUGAAGGGAAAAAGUCUAAAAUAAACCUUAAACUUAUAGAUGAAAGCUAAAUCAAACCUUGAACUUUCAAUCCCUGAAAUCGGCACACUGAAUUCUUCGAUCCCGGUCCAUUUUGAACCUUAAGAGCGUUUCCAAACAGGGAUUGUUGACGUGGUGGGUUGAAUCCCGGGGUUGUCAACUGUGCACACAACUGGGCCGGCCCAACAGGCGCGAAGCGAGUUUUUUUUUUUCUUUUUUGUUCAGUCUAUUUUUAUUUCUUUUUUGUAAUACGCAACGUGUAAUAAAAUAGCCAAAAAAUAGUCAACAGUUGAUUGCACAGGGGCGCGCCCACCACAUGACGAAGUGGGUUUCUUUUCCGUUUAUCAUAUCGCGCGACGUAUAAAAAUACAAAGAAAAAGACAACAGGGAGAGAGUCGAACAUGCGACCUGGAGCUGCUGAACUCGUCGAGCAGGCAACAAGAAUAAAUGGCUGUUAUUGACUUAAUGAGAGGCCCGAGGUAUUUAAUCACACAGUAAAGUCCAGAUUAGCAGGAAACAUUUUUAAGGGCAAAUAAAUAUCGAAAACAUAAACAAUUUGUGAAAACGAACAACUUUUGAAAACAAAAUCAGUUUCGAAAAAGUGAACACUUUUUUGAACAUAAUACUUCUUGAAAAAAUGGGAACAAAUUUUGAUACCUGAACAAAAUUUAAAAUGCAAACACUUUCUGAAAAAAAUAAAAAUAAGAGCAACUUUUGGAACCUGAACAAAUGUGUGAGAAAAAUGUUGGAUACUUCCUCCGUAAAGAAAUAUAGUGAUCUAAGCACUUUUAUAAUUCUUUACAGAGGGAGCACUUCUUAAAAAAUGAACAAAUUUAAAAAAACGGGAACACUUUUUGAAGCAUAAUCAUGUUUCGAAAAAAAAUGGAAUGUAAUUUUAAAACCUGAAAAAAAGUCUGAAAAUUUGAUUUUUUUUAAUGGGAGCAGCUUUUUAAACAAUGUAAAAAAUGUUUGUACAGUUUGAUAAAAUGUUUAUUGUCAUUUCAGAUAAUUUUAAACAUGUAUUUGGCAAAAUGUUACUGUAUAUUCAAAAAGUGUUGUAAACAUGUAUCUUAAAAAAAUUGUCCAUAAUGUAUUUGAAAAAUGUCGAAAGUGCAUAAAAAAUGUUUCAUGUGCCUGUUAAUGUAUACAAUAUAUUUGAGAAAUGUCGAAAAAUUAACAAUGGCAGAGCAUAACAGUGUACAUAAUGUAUUUGAAAAAUGAAAUAUAACGAAGGGUAACAAGCCGAAGAAAACAUAAAGAAAACGCGAAGGAAAAAAAAGAAAAUGAAAAAAGGGAAAAGCCAUAGCAGAGCGGGCGCGCAAGCUACUGGUCUAAUGGGCCGGCCCAAUUUAACUUGCCACAUCAGCGAAUACCAGCGAAAUACACUCAAGGUUUAAAAUAGACCGGGAUUGAAGAGUUUGGUGUGCUGAUUUCAGGGAUUGAAAGUUCAGGGUUCGAUUUAGCUUUCAUCUACAAGUUCAGGGUUUAUUUUGGACUUUUUCCUUUUUGAAGAGCACCAGCGGCUCCAGUCAGGCCCGGCCCAUAGACCGGGCAAACGGGGCGCCCGCCCUGGGCCCCAAGAAGGCAGGGGGCCCAACCGAGGUAGUUAGUAUUCCUUCAUAGCUUGUAAGAAACCCAAGAAAUUUAUCGAGAAAACAGAGGGCCCAUUCGGUCGUGGCGCUGGGGCAAAACCCAUCGUCAAUCUUUCUCCUCGAUUCCUCCAGAUCGCGAAAUCCCGACUCCCAUAACAGCGCCGCCGCUCCCAUGCGUUUCCGAUUCCAAGGUCGCCGCUUGCCAUUAAUGGAGAUUAAAGGCGAAAAUGUGUUCCCAUAUCAGCUCUCCUUCCCUUCUCAAUGUUCUUCGUUCCCCAUCAACUAGAUGUUGGAAACAUGGAGACGGUUGGUGUUCUUCUUUUCUUCCUUCCCAUAAUCCCGUCCCUCCUCAAUUAAAUAGCUCUGUCCUCCUGCUCUGAGGAGUCCACAUCUACCUGCACAAGUGUUCUUCUGAUAUUCACUGGAUCUAAGUGUGAGCGAGUCCUCGGGAGUCAGGAGAUUAGGAGAACUGCAGAAUGGGGGAAAUUAUUCAGUUCUUGGUGUCGUCUUCUCGUUCGUGCUGAAUACUGCAACCUGCGCAUCUAGCAAUCUAGAUCCACAUUAAUCCAUAUUUAGGUGCAUUUGUUCCCUAUAUUAAUCAUUUAUGCUAACUGUCCUUGUUAGUGUCAUGUCGUCUAAAAAGUGUUUAUCUGGUAAAAAAAGAACAGUAAAAGGCAGCACAAAGAUGAAUUGGUAGAAACCCAAAAAGGACCAAUUGACAAAAAAUAUCAGAACUAGUAUUUCUUCUAGAGACCCCCUGGAACUGGCCAUAGUAAGUGUUGAAGAGCAACUGACUGAGAAUACAGAUGCUACUAAUGAUGAUAUGAACGAUAUGGUGAUAAUAAUUCCAGCCAACAUGAAAAGUUGAAACCUAAGUCACUAACCAAAUUCAGAAACACCGGGAGUCGAUGAACAACAAUCAUGCACUGUCGAUAUUUUGGAUCCUCCAAACUAUGACAAUAUGAUUGAUAAGGCUAGGGAUAUUUUAGUUGAGAUAGUAAUUCUAGACAAAAUGAAUUCUCCGUUGUUAAAAUUUAAUAAAACGAGUUUAUCUGGAAUUACAUUAUUUCAUUACUAUCAUGGUGUAGUUCUCCUUAUCAAUAAAUAAAUUGUACAGUCAAUUCUAAAGUCCAAAGAUCAUCGUCUAUGCCAUUCACUAGAUAUUUACUUUUCUUUUCAAAUAGAAAAUAUGUUUAGCUUUCGAAUCAACAAGGGCCCCUUGUUGAUGUCUUGCCCCAGGGCCCCGCAAAUCUGUGGGCCGGCCCUGGCUCCAGUCCAGAAUGCCCAAUAGGCAGAUCUAUCCACAUCACUCAUGGGCAAAAGCUUCGGCCGUAAUCUCGAGUAAGAUUGUGGAUGCUUUGGUCCACCUACUCUGUUUCUUGAGGAGUGGAUGGAUGGAUUCAAUGAACUGAAGCAGACCCCUUGUCCAUCUUCUUUCUCCUACUAACAGGACUAGUUUGCACUAUCUUCUUCCUCAUGGUGUAGUUGCUCUCCACAAGAAACCUCUAUGCACCUCACGUCCCAGCAUAUCACCAACGAGGCAACGAUCAACUGUCGAAUCCCGUGCCGGUACAUCAGUAGUGCCAGCACUGAAGGAUCGAUGAAACCGUGCCGGUAGGUUACCGUUUCAUUCUUUUGACAGAGACCUUUUACAUAUGGUUUGUCAAACAAGGCCUUCUAAGCAUGCACACAGAAAAAUUCAGAAAUGGUGUUCAGAGAAAGCAUGUGCAUGCAGCAAAAUUCAGUAAACUGAAUUCCUUCCCACGAAGCACGUUUAAAGCUGGAGGACCAUAUGUAGCACGUCCAGGCAGGCAAUGAACUAGCUCUUCAGGAGCCCCCAUUUCAAGUAAGGACAAGAAACUAACUAACCCAUUGUACUGCCUUGCUUAAGCCUGAAAAGAUAAAAGAUGGACCAGGUGAUGCAUGCAGAUGGAAGGGCGUUUAGUACUACUGGUGCCCAGGAAAUGCAGCUCAGCGAUUGCGCCCGCCAUAGCUUCCACUGACUUACCAUCCAGCAACACCCAGUUAAUACGCUUGUUCUUCACAUGGCAUCUCUGUUCCAUAAAAAGGAGAAGCAGAACAAAGACAGUUAGAACAGAUGUAACUAACUAUGCACAAAACAAUCAAGAAAAUCAAACAAAACAAGAACUAGAACGACGGCAACCAAAUGUUAUGCGUCACUCAAUGAUACAAUUGCUCAAACAAUGCUGAUUAAAUGCUCUGACAUCCCAAACCAACCUAUUUUUUCCUUGUAUGGCCUGAACAAUGAAGCAAAAACUGGUCAUGGAAGGUAAAGGCCACCCAAGUGCCAUGUUUUCAGACUGGAGUAUACACUUGAGAUGCAGGACCGAAGUAUCUUGAUUACGAUAGUAUAUCCGACUCAGAAAAGACAUGCACUAACAAAAGUGGACCGGUGUAAACUACACAAACCAGAGUUAAGCUCUGUGUGAGCAGUAGCAUGCUUCAUCAUAGAGGAAUGGGAAACUGAUUCUAUAUCUAAAUAACAUUCUAUAAGAAACAAGUAUGGACAAUCUCACACAAUAUAACUCAAGUUCAUACAAUGUAUUGUGACUAUGAGAAGUGGAGAUGACAAAAACGAACUUCCAUUCUUCCAAUUGCUAACCCAUCGCUCUCUAAGUUCCCUAUCAAUAUCACAUUGUCAUUCUCAAUUCAGUUGACCAUUAACCCACAUGUGUCCGACACCAUCAUCCUACCGUACAAAAGUUUCCCCUUCUAUGGUAAUCCAACAAAACAACUACAAUUCAAACCGCAUCAAAAAAGAGUAGAGUAUCAUCUUACGGGUACAAAAAGCAUCUCAAAUGGUGCUGGACUAGUGCAUCUAAAAUGGCCUAGGGAAUCAUUCAUAUAUUUACCACUAUUCCACAGUUUAUACUAAAUAGUGCAAAGGUUGAUGAACCACUAACAAAAGCCUUGGAGGAUUAUGACUGUGACAAUGCAAAAUGUUUCCAUAACUAAUCUAUUAUGAUGGUGCAUUGAUCUAAGCUACGAAUUUCAAUUGUAAAGCACAUGGCAAAACAAAGCAGCAGCAUAGAAAUGAAGAUUAACACGAUGCACAUUGCAAAGCUUUGCAACCUCAACAAAAGCAGUACGAAAAUUAUCUAAAAGGACCAAAAGGCAAACCUUCCAGUUGCAGGAUCAUCCUUGAGCGCAGGGAACGUUGGAGGCCAUAUCAUCACAAAAGGAUGUAUAUCACCCAAAUAUCGAUCCUCUUU